rnacentral:rRNA from 1 species
UACGGAGGGUGCAAGCGUUACUCGGAAUUACUGGGCGUAAAGCGCGCGUAGGCGGCUUGGUAAGUCGGAUGUGAAAGCCCUGGGCUCAACCUGGGAACUGCAUUCGAUACUGUCAAGCUAGAGUGUGGGAGAGGGAAGUGGAAUUUCCGGUGUAGCGGUGAAAUGCGUAGAUAUCGGAAGGAACAUCAGUGGCGAAGGCGGCUCACUGGACCGGAACUGACGCUGAGGCGCGAAAGCGUGGGGAGCAAACAGG